GCCACGCUCCAUCCAGCCACUAGUCCGCGUGUGCUUGUGUUCGCCUUUCCGUGGAUGUCUUGUACCGUCCCGCCGAAACGAAAGGUCAUCAUCAGUCCUGUGCGUGGCGUGAGAAACAGUAGUGUCAUGUAAUGCAUGUUGUGGCAGUUUGUAGGUUGAGUGGGUUAAGCAAAAGCAUUGUGAAGGUGAAAUAUAUUUGGCCGAGAGGGAGUGACCGGUUACAGCUUGUGGACGGUGACUCCUUCAUUGACAUGGACACGAGACGAUGACCAAUGGUGUGGACACGAGUUGAGAGGCGCCACGCGGAACGCACAGAGGGGUGGGGCGUGGAUGUGGGCACUCGGUCUGGCGAGAAUCUGGAGCUUCUUGAAGGACGAGGUAAUGUCCAGCGGUGUUCUUUCCUGACACGAUCGUCCACUCAUCGCGGCGGUAACAACAACGCUGUCACUGGUGCCACGGGUGACUCAGGGCCUGGCAAGACUCGGCGUAAUAAGGCGUCCCGUCACUCCUGUACAGCAGAGGCCAGCAGAUCGUACCCUUACGCAGUCCAUGAUGUGACUCUCCAGCACCACCACUGCCUUCACGCCGGCGCCCCUUCUAUUCCUGGCCAGGACCACGCCGCCGCCUCUCGCCACGAUAGACAAAGGUCUCGCCUCGACGGAGUGACAGAGCAAGGAAGGGAGAGGGAAGGCAGAAGUGGACGUGGGUCGGAAGGGAAGAUCGCGUGUGUUAAGAGUGAGGCAGGAAAGCCUUGGUGAGGGAAGGAUUACUGCUAGGGUGAGACAGGAAAGCUGAGGAAAACGGUGGCUGUGACAGGCAACAGUUUCACUUAUGCUCGUACAAGACAUGCAGCGCGCCGCUGGUGUAGUGGUAUCAUGCAAGAUUCCCAUUCUUGCGACCCGGGUUCGAUUCCUGGGCGGCGCACCUCAUUCAGUUACAUUUUUAGGUUGCUGUUGUGACAAGACAAGAGUUGCGCCUAGCUGUACCUGUCACGCCUCGUGCACGAAGAAUUCCUGGAGGCCUCGCUGCUCAGCACCACCUUAGGACGCUCCAGUGCUCAGCCGAAGGCCACCACCAGGCAGCUCUCCUCUCCUGCUGAGGCGUCCACGUCAGCAGAGGAACACACGCAUCUCGCUGCAGCUGCUGGUGCGAGUGUGCCGCUCCCGGUGAACACUUCCUGCACGGUGCUGGUUUGCUGACAAGCGCGGCACACUUAUCUCAAAUCCGGAGGAGAAGGAGGAAAAAAGAAAAGUACAGGAACAAAAACAAGAACAAGAAGAAAAGAACAAGAACAAGAACAAGAAUAAAAAGAACAAGAAGAAGAAGAAAUCGAAGCAUACUAAAAAGGGGAUGAAAAAUAAAUACAGGAGGAAAAUAAUAAUCCGCGCUGGACAGAAAGAGGCAAUAUGCAGCAAUCACUCUGGGCGACUCGGUGUGAAGGAAUGAAGGUUGUGUGCCCGCUGCUAAACUUUGUACCAAUACACUGAAAAAAAAAAUGAUAAUAAUAAACAUUUCACUAUUAAACAAACAAGAGAAUCAGCACUGGUGGUGACUGUGUGUGUGUGUGUGUGUGUGUGUGUGUGUGUGUGAAUGAGUGUGCAAGAGGGGUAGAUUUGCUUGGCUAAACAAAAUACACACAAAAAACAAUUUAAAACACAUCCAGGUGGAAAUAUGAAGGUAUAUUUCAUACAGUGACUGCCACGUGUAAGCCUGGUCGCUUCUUGCAGCUUCCCUCACUUUUUAUGUUCUUAUGUCUCUCUCUCUCUCUCUCUCUCUCUCUCUCUCUCUCUCUCUCUCUCUCUCUCUCUCUCUCUCUCUCUCUCUCUCUCUCUCUCUCUCUCUCUCUCUCUCUCUCUCUCUCUCACACCAAAAGGCAAGCGGCUUCUUAGGAAUACACCGUUGAAGAAUUAGUGUCUAAUAAAAAGUUAAUAUACAGUUCUGAUUAAAAAAUAUGACUGAUCAUGGAUGAAGCAAUGCAAAGUUAAUAAACAUACCUGAUAAAAUAAUCUGAAUGAUUUAAGAAGAAAAAAAUGGCAAGCGUGUCUGAUAUAGGACAAUAAAUAUAGUAAUCUAUGUCCUGUGCGCUCAGAAUGUUUGAUUGGUUUUAUGAGGCUCAGAAUCCUCAGCAGCACUACAAAUAACCCCUCAGUCUGUCAUAAUAGAGAGGCGGAAGUGACCCUGAGGCCCCAGUUAACAGAGACCGCCACGGCAUGCAGUGAAUGAAGUGUCUCCCAGCAACCUGUGGCCGAAGAAUCCUGCAAGAGUAGAAUCCCUUGCCAGAUUAAAGCUUUGCCUGUCUUGCGAAUGCCAUUGCUUUCCUCCAGCUUGUGACUUUCGCUAUGAGUGUAAUUUGGUUUCAUGUGAACACAACUCGGCCUUCCUCUCGGGCACCCCGGCAGUACUGGCCACGGGGGAGAGGGUGUCCUUAGUGACGGCACACUUCACCGUGUACUCCAGUAUAAACACAGAAAAUUGCGUUGAUUAAUGAACGUGGAGUUGAAGAAUUACAACACACGAUUGCAAAGGAGAGACAAUAGCUGCAGCCUAAUGGGUCCUUCACUGUUGAGAACAUUAGUCUAUACUAGUAGUACAAGACACCUGACAACACAGUGGAAGGCUUCUCUCUACCUAUUCCGAUACCUUAAAAAGAACAGAAAAAAAUUAGGAAUGCUGCUGCCGCUGAUGAUGAUUAUACCGCAAGAUCCAUCAGUUUACAUCUUUCCUAUUCUAUAUUAAGUUUUCUAUCCGUUUGAACUCGUGAUGUUUGUCAGCCCGCCAGUGCCUCGCGGCUCGUGUGCUGCGUGGCGGUGUUGAGUGCGGCGGCGUGUGGCUCAGGCUUUCAGGCAAGACAAAAGCAGUGUCGUGGUAAUACAAAUCCCUAGAUAAAUAAGGGGAGGAAAGCAAACAAGACACCAGAGAUCAAGAGGAAUGAGCAUAAAAAAGUUUAAUC